CAGUAUUUAUUGACUCUGCCUCAGAGAGUUUUUGUUUUUGUUUUGGGGGGGGGGCGGUUUUCAGCAGCUUCACUCACAAAUUUUCAGAGAACAUGGUUUGAAGGCACAUCAGCGUAUCACGUUAUAUUGUCAUCCAAAGCCUUUCCGUAGUCUCCCAGUAAGCGAUCGUCCCCUCUCCGCUCAAGGCCAAGAUAAUUUAAGAACUUUGAAACUCCUGAAAUGUAAGAGAAAUGCCAGGAAAUGAGCUCAUCCCGGAGUUAGUGACAAAUUUGCGGAUGCCUUUUGUGCUACCCUUUGUUGUCAGAGGUCAUGCAUGGCUGAGUUCAGAGAAAACACAAUCAAAGUGUCAAAAAACAAUCAGGCCCCAAAUUGUAAACAUCUGCAGGAACAUUUAUUUUAUUUUAUUGAACAGACGUCAAAAGGCUCCCGCUAACUUUUCGAGAAAAGCUUUUCAAGUGUGACAAGCACUUUACGGGAGGAGCAGCGUUGGACCGCUGCCGCUUAGGUCCUAUUCGGUUGCCCAUCCAUGACAUUUCCCAUCGUGUGUUAUGCACUCCAAUUCCAAGCAAAGAAAAUCCAUGAAAAGAUGGCGCUUAUCUUAUUAAUCGGGUCCAUAAUAUCUCAAGGCACAACUGUAUGUGUGAGAGAAAGAAUUGGCAAGGGUUCAAAUACAAGCUCGAUAUUGGUGGAGGAUUUUAAAUCCAGCGUCAGUGUUGCAAAAUGAGCCUUAGAAUGACAAAGAAAAGCAAAGUUGAGCUCCUAUGCAUCAAGUGCGCAAGGCGGAACAAACACAAAACGGCAUCUUAGAAUUGGUGUGACUCUGAAAACUGCUAUCCUUACAAAACAAAAAACAUCAUUUCAAAGCGAAAUUAUUUAUUUUUAUAGCAUUGGUUUGAUAUUCAAAGGAGAUGAAGAUGCCUGGGAGUGAGCCACACUGCCACUUUUUUCGGGCUGUGGAUUUUUUUUUUUUUUUUUGCCUCUAAUAUGUCGUCAGACGUGCUUACUGCCAACUGAAAGGACUGGCUCAGUGACAGCCGGUGUGAGGUUGUGCCAAAUAAAUCUGCAGCACCACGCGUGGCUGCUUUGCCUUGUACGCGGACUGUACAGAGGUGGACGGUGCAUGUUUUGUUUUGUUUUUCGGGGGUGGGGAGGGGUUGAUCUGGUUCAGUAUUUCAACAAGACUGUCUAUCUGUUCAUUGUACAUAUUUAUUUAUCUAUUUAUUUCUAUUCAUUUGGGUCUCGCCGAAAUGGUUUAUUUAUUGAGAGACAUUGCUUCAAAUUUGCAAUGAUUGCUGCGUUCGAUUUCUUUUCCUGCCUGACAUUUCAACCCCUAAAAUAAAUAUUUGACCUAGUUCUGACAUGA